UACGAGGGGGGCGAGCGUUGUUCGGAAUUAUUGGGCGUAAAGGGCGCGUAGGCGGUCGGAUAAGUCUUGUGUGAAAUCUUCGGGCUCAACUCGAAGUCUGCACAGGAAACUAUCUGGCUUGAGUGCGGGAGAGGUGAGUGGAAUUCCUGGUGUAGCGGUGAAAUGCGUAGAUAUCAGGAGGAACACCUGUGGCGAAAGCGGCUCACUGGACCACAACUGACGCUGAGGCGCGAAAGCUAGGGGAGCAAACAGG
rnacentral:rRNA from 1 species